GUUUGUCUAGGGGUAAUUACUUUCUUUAGACGAUUUAGCAUCAUCAUCCUCUCUAUUUCUCUAGACGAUUUCCCCAACUUUUCUCUUCAUUUCCCGCCAUUAAUUCUUCAGGGUAAUGAAAGAUAAAACGCAGCCGAAGGUAGUAGUCUUGUAGAUAUGGAAGAUGCUUGCUGAGAAGACGAUGAAUAUCGAAUUGCGUUGUUUAGAGAACAAAGCAAGAAACUCCGGAUUCCAGUUCCUCCUGUUUCUGAAGAAGAUCUUAAUGGUAGCGGCCUUUCAGUCAGGAGAAUUGGUGGUCCUACAAGGCGAGCAAAGGGUGGUUGGACUACUGAAGAGGAUGAGAAGUUGCGGAAAGCUGGUGAAUCUUUUAAGGACAAAAUUUGGAAGAAAAUAGUUUUAGAUGCUGAAUUGUUAACAUAUGGGGUGGUAAAAUUGAUCAUCUAUCUAUGCAGCUGCUAAUUUACUUCAUAGAAGAGAAGUGCAAUGUCUGCAGCGAUGGCAAAAGGAAGAUGAUAAAAUCUUGGAGUUGGUCUAUGGACCCUCCAAAUGGUCCGUUAAAACAAAAGAGGUGCCAGGUUGCGUAGGAAAGCAAUGCUGAGAAAGGUAACCAUAAUAAUAUAGCAACUGUAUCCAGUAUUUUUGAUGGUCUUGAAUGCGGACAACUGGCAUCACUCAUAAGAACAUAAGUUUAGUGUGGCAAAUUAAACUCGCAACCAAACUUGGUCAGACAUAGAAGCAAAUCAGAAGCUGAUCCAGAGAAAAGCAUUGCUGGAACACCACUACCAAUUGCCGUUCCAGUCAUUAGUUCUUUUCAGAAUGAAAUAUUGGACUUAUUUCACCUACCUUUUGCUGCUAAUUGCUUUUCAGUCACUACCUUCAUAUCAGAAAAAGAGAGAAGCUAGUGGUACUCUGAAUUGGCAUGAGCAAACAUAUGUGGUAAAAGAUGAAAAAGACAGGAGUUUGCAUUCACAAGAAAGAAUGAAAGAUAGAACGAAAAAAACUGAUAAUAGUGAAGAAGUGCCUGGUUCAGAGGAUGUGAUUUGAAAGAGUGAAAAUUCUGCUUGCCGUUGUAAUGGCACUGUUAGCUGUUUUACACCAGGAGGCUCGUCCAUACAGAUGGGUGGUUUUAUUCUUGGAAGGCUUAUUUUUAUUGAUCAAGGCUGAUCGUUUCUGGUCUUUAGAGAAGCAACUGGAUACAGAUGAGCUUACGAAUGAGGUACCAAAUGGAGAAAGGUUAAACCCAAAUGAAGGAAAAAGAACUGAAGAAUGACAAUUCUGCUUGUCAUGGUAAUAGCGGCAUUAGACUGUUCUAUUUGAUGCCAAUAGCAUUUAUAGUAGCCAAUCCAAAUCAAUGGAUUCUGCCUCAUGUCAGCAUGGGUUGUUCACGAGGAGUGAAGAUGGCUUGACCAAAUUAGAUAUACUGCGAGUACUUUCUGGAAAUAUUGUAUAGCUCUGGUAGUACAAGGCCCUGUAGGGUAUUAAAUUCUACUGUAUUGUACUAUUUGAUUUAAUUUUCCAGUCUGAAGUUAAUCAUUUUUGUUUCCUCUUUUCGACUCUGAA